rnacentral:sRNA from 1 species
CCGGAGUGUAACUAAUGCCGCACACGCAUCGGCACAUGUGUCUGGGUGCCCCCCAGGGGGUUGAUACAUGGGAUGUGUGGAGGACUAAC